UACGGAGGGUGCAAGCGUUAUCCGGAUUCACUGGGUUUAAAGGGUGCGUAGGCGGAUAGGAAAGUCCGUGGUGAAAUCCUGCAGCUUAACUGCAGAACUGCCGUGGAUACUAUCUAUCUUGAAUAUCGUGGAGGUUAGCGGAAUAUGUCAUGUAGCGGUGAAAUGCUUAGAUAUGACAUAGAACACCCAUUGCGAAGGCAGCUAACUACGCGAUCAUUGACGCUGAUGCACGAAAGCGUGGGGAUCAAACAGG
rnacentral:rRNA from 1 species